UGACGUGGACACUUGUCUCGAAGAAUAAGCCAUGCAUGUUCGUGAAGCUUUAAGUGAAACUGCGAAUGGCUCAGUAAUAUGGUUCUAAUUUAAUCAACAAGCAAUGGAUAACCACGGGAAACUGUGGCUAAUACAUGAAGAAGAUGUUUUAUGUGAAAAAGAUAUCAGAUGUUGAGUAAGGGACCAGCCUAUCAGUUUGAUUGUAGUGUAAAGGACUACAAUGACGAUGACGGGUACGGGGAAUCAGGGUUCGAUUCCGGAGAGGGAGCCUGAGAAAUGGCUCCCAGUUCUAAGGAACCCAGCAGGCGCGAACCAUUUUCAAUCUACAAAGGAAAGUGUGAAGAGACGUGAAUCAAGAAGUACUUUAAAAGGGUGCUGAUAAACUAGAAGGCAAGCGAGGUGCCAGCAGCUGCGGUAAUUCCCCCUCUAGGAGUGUCUGUGAGUAUUGCUGUGGUUAAAACGUCCGUAGUUGAUAUAAAAAAGGGGUUAAUUCAACUUUUUGUGGUUAUGGAUAAAAGAAUGUGCUUAAGGCGAUCUAAUCCAUAAUACUAAAUGUGAAAAGAGCAGAUGAGGGACACAGGAUUCUGCAGCGAGAGGUGAAAUUUGAUGACCUGCGGAGGACUAACGGAUGCGAAGGCGGUGUUCUAGGAUGUUUCUGUUAAUCAAGGACUAAAGCCAGAGGAUCGAAGGCGAU
rnacentral:rRNA from 1 species